UACAGAGGGGGCAAGCGUUGUUCGGAAUUACUGGGCGUAAAGGGCGCGUAGGCGGCCGCCUAAGUCAGACGUGAAAUCCCUCGGCUCAACCGGGGAACUGCGUCUGAUACUGGGUGGCUUGAAUCCGGGAGAGGGAUGCGGAAUUCCAGGUGUAGCGGUGAAAUGCGUAGAUAUCUGGAGGAACACCGGUGGCGAAGGCGGCAUCCUGGACCGAUAUUGACGCUGAGACGCGAAAGCGUGGGGAGCAAACAGG
rnacentral:rRNA from 1 species